GUAUGUCCUACCAACCGUGAUAUCCUCGCAUUGGGGAUCCCUGUUCUCUAGGCAAGACAUGCAAUGUACUUUAGAGGUGUCCCACUGGGGUUUGGGCAUUGGUGUUGUAUUCUAGCUCAGCGGUGGGCAACGUCCUCUUGAUAUAGACUUGCAAGGCAACUCCGAUUCUGAAGUGCAGACUGUUAAUUAGCUCCAUGGCUUCCAGGAGAUACAAUGCUCCUGUACUAACCACACAAGGACCACAAAGAUCAAAAGAUACAGGCUCUAUACCUGAGGAGAUGUUUUCAGGCUGAUGACAUCAGCAAAUGUCAGCACCUAUGUCAGACUUCCUGUCCCACCCACUUCUAGGUACCUACUGCCAGCGACUACUACCAAGAACAAGCAGCUCCAAAACUGGAUGGUGGGCAGAGAGAUUUUCAUCUGCUCGCCGUUAUCUCCUCGAUUUGACGAGCAGCUCCCUGGGUUUCCUCGUGGUUUGUUUCACAGGAUUCAGUGAACGUGUUCCAAGCAGCAGAGGGUCCUGGCAGUCCGACCCUGUGGGGAAUCCCCAGACUGACAUGGGGCCUCAGUAAAGGGAGUUUUUGAGAUAAGGUGGGGGUAUAGAGAAUGUACUGUGGGACAGCACCAGAAUGAAAAGGAAGUAAACCCAGGCAUAGACAUUGGGUGUUCAAUUCGGGGAGAGGUUCAGCAGCCCCAAAAUGAGGCAGCUGGAAGACUGGAGGCCUGAGCCCAGUAGGAGGAGGCGGAGGUGUGACCUGCCUAGUGUGGAGGUGACACUUCUUUCCUACAAUCCCACCUUCCACCCUCCCCGCUUCCUGUUGGCCUCUGUAGGCAUGACUUCCUUACGGGCUGGGGGCUGCCGACUGGUCUUUCACUCCAGCCCCAGACUUAAGGUGUGGCUGUACACAGGCACCCAACGACGGGCAUUUAGGAGUUCAGUGGGUGUCUCCUUUGGCUGGGGGCUGCUGAAUGCAGAAGUGGUGGCUCAAGUUCAUCAUAUCUGGCCACAGGUAGGCCAAGUAAAAAAAGAUGGGGAGGGUGACCAAAUGUUCCUAUAACACCAGGCCAGUGACCUCCAGUGGCAAGAGACAGGAAACAGCCAUCUUUACAUCUUCUUAUGCUUCAAAGUACAGCUGACGCAGCACAGCACUCCACACCCCACCAGGAUGUCUAGUGACUUUUUUUGGUUUUUGUUUUGGUGUUCAUUUGUUUGUUUUGAGACAGGGUCUCACUAUGUAGUCCUGGCCAACCUGAAACUUACUAUGUGGAUCCAACUGCCUCUGUCUUCCCAGUAUGUGCCACCACAUUUGGCCAUAUAGUGACUCUUUUUUAAAGUUACAUAUUUAUUGUUAAUUUUAUGUGCAUUGGUGUUGUCUGUGUGUAUCUCUGAGGCUGUUGGCUCCUUUGCAGCUGGAGUUACAGAUAGUGGUGAGCUGCCAUGUGGGUGCUGGGAAUUGAACCAGGGUCCUCUGGAAGAGCAACAAGUGCUCUUAAUUGCUGAGCCAUCUUUCCAGUCCUACAUCUAGUUGACUCUUAACAUGUACUACAUGACACCAAUCUUUGCCCUUUUGGCUUCUGGUUUCAUUUGAUUAUGAAUAACUGUUGUUGUGGGUUGGUUCUAAUGCUAUUUGUGUUCAUUUGACUCUCAAAAUCCCACAGGAUCCUGCUCAUCUACACUGAGGGUCCCUGACCCCAGUUGGCUCCGAUUGGGAAAUAAAGUUGCCAGUGGCCAAUGGCUUGGCAGGGGACAGAGGUGGGACUUUCAGGAUUCCAGAGCAAGAAAUGCAGAGGAAAGAGGAAGAGAGGAUUCAGCCACGACAAGGGUAUAGGAGACAGAUCACACAGGGAAGGUGGAGGAGGGAGAGAUGGGCAAGAUGUACAUGCAAAGGGAAAAGUGGUCCCAGGGCUGCCCAGAAGGGUUCAGAGCAGCAAAGACAAAUUUAGUAAGUAUUACCUUGUAAUAUCAGAGGGUCUGUGUUAACCAUGUGGAGGUUCAAGAGUGACCCAGCCACUGUGGUAGUUAAGGCAUAUUAAAAUACAAAGGUUGAGGGCUGGAGAGAUGGAUCAGCAGCUAAUAGCACUAACUGCUCUUUCAGAAGUCCUGCGUUCAAAUCCCAGCAACCACAUGGUGGCUCACAACCAUCUGUAAAGGGAUCUGAUGCCUUCUAGUUGUCGGAAGACAGCUACAGUAUACUCAUAUACAUAAAAUAAAUAAAAUCUUUUUUAAAAAAUACAAAGGUUGUGUGUGCGCGUGUGGGUGCGUUUCACUCACUCAUGAAUCCAAAACAUUUGAGCAGGCAUAGAGGACGAGCAUACCCGCCAGGAGCAUAGAGCAGAUUUAACAAUUUACUGCUACAAACUAGAACUUUAAUUUUUUUCAAAUCUUAUUUUUAAUGAUGAUUCUUCAACGCUUUAACCUCCCUUUAAGCCCACCACCCACCAGAGGUAGUGAAAAAGAAAGAAUAUGGGGGAAGUGGACCUGUUUGGAAAGGUUCUUUGCAGUGACUCCCAUCUGUGUUGACUGGAAACCGGCAGUUCAGUUCACAGGUCGGCAGCGGCAGCUCGAUCCACUCGCAAACACUUCCUGGAUACCCCAGCAGUCCAGUUUGGUAGAGUUGCCACAGCAAACAAGAAUAAGCAGCGGUGGCACUACCUAGCAGAGACAGCCAGGCCUCAGCAGGAGGGACCUGGAGGGACACCAGGAGAAGCUCUUGGCUGUGUCUCUCAGUGAAGCAAGGAUAAGUAAAGACGCGAGAUCCACAAGCAGUGCACAGCUAGCUGUACCAGCAAGCCAGGCUCAGCCUCGGUCACUGUCCCUCCAAACAUCACGGGUCCUCCACGGGUCUUACCUCAGCAAGUGCGUCUGUCUCAGUUGACAUCACUCUACCAAUCAGCCCAAGAGGCAAGAAACUGCAGCACACCACCAGAAGUUUUUUGGGGCUUUUCUCUCAAUGGAGUCCCAACAAAUGGAGCUUAAAUACACAACAUGAAGCUGACCAACACAUGCCUGUUGCUAAUGAAGAACCCUUCAUCACGUGUCCUUUCAUGGGCUUGCUUUAGCAGAACGUCCUUUCUUCUGUGUCUGCUUCAGCGAAACGUUCCUUCAUGAGUCCGCCUUAGCCUUUCACCUGUGUCCACUUCAGCUAAAUGCUCCUUCACGUUUGCCCAGCAAAACCCCACACAAUCGACUUUCCAAAGAACCUUUAAGUUUCCACUUCACAGAACCACUUGUCUACUUCCACAAGUAGCUUGGAACCUUCUGCCUUUAGUUCAUUGAGUUUCAGAGUGCCUAUAUUUCUUGGGAAACACUGCAAUUCCCAGAUGCUGUUCCUAGAACCCCUUUUUAGUAGAGGGAGCAAUGAUCUGGGUCCUCAGGUCUAUUUUAUAUAAAGCAUCUGUGUUUGUGUCAAAGAACAUUUGUUUCUAGAGAAUAAAUGAUCUCAGGACAGAUGAGACUUGGCUCAAGUAGUAGCCUUCUGUUUUCUAACCCAGUUGGCUGAUUGGCUGCUACAUGGAGUCAUGGCCAUAGAUUCAAUUUCCAGAGAUUCCUAAGGUAGUAUCUAGCCAGUCCCCGAGGACUGUAGCUGAUCUUUACUAUAUUGUGGGUUAUUCUUUUGCCCAACCUUUAUCCCCACCCCCACCCCACAGUUUCACUCAUUAUUAGGAGAAAGAAGGAUGGGGGAGAGAUAGAGAGCUCUGAAUCUAAUUUCUUUCUCUUGUUUCUUCUUUGAGCACCACUACAACUACUAAUUCCCUGACCAACCACCAACCACCAACCCCACCUCUCGGGGCUCUAGCAUUUAUAUACUCUCUGAAAAGUUCCCAGAAUUCCAAAUGUCACACAAUUGCAGAAACUAUCUGUAGCUGGCAAAACCGUGCCUCUGCUAGAGCACCAGGCAAAUGAAGGUCAGUUGCUGCUGACAGUUCAAAGCAGCCCCAUAUCCCUACACCUGGGAUUAAAACAAAAACACAUUCUUAUAUUUCUGUGCUUUUAAGAGACCAGAAUUCUAGAAUUCUCAAAACUGUUGUACAUUUCCCACUUCUGUUUUAAGCCAUUAAUUGUGCUGUGUGUAGCAGGAAGUUAUAAACAGAGACAUUUUCAUUG
rnacentral:lncRNA from 1 species